CUUUGAAGAAACACAGAGGCAGGAAAGAAAGAAAAGAAGGAGUGUUGGUUCCAGUUUAGCACAGAAGAAAACCUGGACUGUUUCUGUGUGUGAAGAUUUUAUGUCAACUUGGUCAUCAGGGUGAAGUUCAAGAUCCUUACCUUGACAUACCACCAUAAGCUGUUUCCUGCUUAUCUCCCCAGCCUCACCUCUCCAUGAUCACCACUCUCUGCCUGGGACAUUGUGGACUGCAACAUAAAUGGCUUGUAGCUCCCUGCACGUACUGUUAUGUGUUGCUUCCAUACUUUUACUGAUGCUGUUCCCUGGACCUGGAUUACUCUUCCAUUAUCUCCAUUGCUGAACUUCCAUUUAUCCUUUAAGGUCUCCUGUGUGAUAUGCAUUAGGAAGCCUUCAUCCCACCUCGCGAGUUAAAUACUGUUCCUCCACACUCUCGCACCACCUUGGCAUCUCUCCGUCACUGCAUUCAUUACUUUUUGUUCAUUCACUCACUGGCAUUAUCCGCUUAUGUUUCUGUCUCCCUACCUAGACUAGGAGUUUCUUGAAGUCUUGA
rnacentral:lncRNA from 1 species